AGUGAACGCUGGCGGUAGGCCUAACACAUGCAAGUCGAACGGCAGCACAGUAAGAGCUUGCUCUUACGGGUGGCGAGUGGCGGACGGGUGGGGAAUACAUCGGAAUCUACUUUUUCGUGGGGGAUAACGUAGGGAAACUUACGCUAAUACCGCAUACGACCUACGGGUGAAAGCAGGGGAUCUUCGGACCUUGCGCGAUUGAAUGAGCCGAUGUCGGAUUAGCUAGUUGGCGGGGUAAAGGCCCACCAAGGCGACGAUCCGUAGCUGGUCUGAGAGGAUGAUCAGCCACACUGGAACUGAGACACGGUCCAGACUCCUACGGGAGGCAGCAGUGGGGAAUAUUGGACAAGGGGCGCAAGCCUGAUCCAGCCAUACCGCGUGGGUGAAGAAGGCCUUCGGGUUGUAAAGCCCUUUUGUUGGGAAAGAAAAGCAGCAGGUUAAUACCCCGCUGUUCUGACGGUACCCAAAGAAUAAGCACCGGCUAACUUCGU
rnacentral:rRNA from 1 species